rnacentral:rRNA from 1 species
CGUAGGGGUGCUCACCUGGAAGAAUCUGGAGACAGGUGCUGCAUGGCUGUCGUCAGCUCGUGUCGUGAGAUGUUGGGUUAAGUCCCGCAACGAGCGCAACCCUUGCCUUUAGUUGCCAGCAGUUCGGCUGGGCACUCUAAAGGGACUGCCGGUGUUAAACCGGAGGAAGGUGGGGAUGACGUCAAGUCCUCAUGGCCUUUAUGACCAGGGCUACACACGUACUACAAUGGCCGAUACAAAGGGCAGCGACACUGCGAGGUGAAGCCAAUCCCGUAAAUCGGUCUCAGUCCGGAUUGGAGUCUGCAACCCGACUCCGUCGAAGCUAGGUAAGUACGCUAGUAAUACGCGCGAUCAGCCAUGGCGCGGUGAAUACGUUCCCGGGCCUU